rnacentral:rRNA from 1 species
AUGGCUGACCCAAGCAGCACGUGCGCGCCUCCUUCUUCUUCUUCCACGUCGCCGCGGCUCAGCGCCGGCGUCGUCAACUUCUUGGCGCGCCGUGCCAUGAACACGCACCACCGAGCAGCAGCAGCAGCAGCAUUUCCCCUCCACUCGCCGGGCUCCUCCACCGGCUCCCCCGACUCCGUGCCGUGGAGCAGCUGCCACCACCACCACGCCCCGCCCACGCCGCCCCUGCCGCCGUUCGACACCGACGAGAAGCUCCUGCUCAACACGCUCUCCCAGCACGAGGCAGCGGCGGCGCCGCUGAAGCAAGAGGCAACGGACGCCGAGGUGGCGCCCGGCGUGGGCGGCGGGCGCGCGUUCCGCGGCGUGCGGAAGCGGCCUUGGGGCAAGUACGCGGCGGAGAUCCGGGACUCGACGCGGAAUGGCGUCAGGGUUUGGCUGGGCACGUUCGAGAGCCCGGAGGCGGCGGCGCUGGCCUACGACCAGGCGGCCUUCGCCAUGCGCGGCUGCGCCGCCGUCCUCAACUUCCCCGCCGACCAGGUCCGCCGCUCGCUCGAGGGCGCGGGGGAAGACGUGCGCGGCCGCGCCCACGGGGUGUCGCCCGUGCUGGCGCUCAAGCGGCGGCACUCCAUGCGGAGCCGAAAGGCCACGGCGUCGUCGCCGUGCCGCAAGGCCGCCCGUGGCCGGCCGGAGGGCGUGGUGAUGGAGCUGGAGGACCUUGGCGCGGAGUACCUCGAGGAACUGCUCGGCGCCGCCGACGACAUGACGGCCUCGGCCUACGACUCAUGGUGCUCGGGCCAUCAUUCCAUCUGA